rnacentral:rRNA from 1 species
GUCGAGCGGUAGCACAGAGAGCUUGCUCUCGGGUGACGAGCGGCGGACGGGUGAGUAAUGUCUGGGAAACUGCCUGAUGGAGGGGGAUAACUACUGGAAACGGUAGCUAAUACCGCAUAACGUCGCAAGACCAAAGUGGGGGACCUUCGGGCCUCUUGCCAUCAGAUGUGCCCAGAUGGGAUUAGCUAGUAGGUGGGGUAACGGCUCACCUAGGCGACGAUCCCUAGCUGGGCUGAGAGGAUGACCAGCCACACUGGAACUGAGACACGGUCCAGACUCCUACGGGAGGCAGCAGUUGGGAAUAUUGCACAAUGGGCGCAAGCCUGAUGCAGCCAUGCCGCGUGUGUGAAGAAGGCCUUCGGGUUGUAAAGCACUUUCAGCGGGGAGGAAGGCGUUAAGGUUAAUAACCUUGGCGAUUGACGUUACCCGCAGAAGAAGCACCGGCUAACUCCGUGCCAGCAGCCGCGGUAAUACGGAGGGUGCAAGCGUUAAUCGGAAUUACUGGGCGUAAAGCGCACGCAGGCGGUCUGUCAAGUCGGAUGUGAAAUCCCCGGGCUCAACCUGGGAACUGAAUUCGAAACUGGGAGGCUAUAGUCUUGUAGAGGGGGGUAGAAUUCCAGGUGUAGCGGUGAAAUGCGUAGAGAUCUGGAGGAAUACCGGUGGCGAAAGCGGCCCCCUGGACAAAGACUGACGCUCACGUGCGAAAGCGUGUGGAGCAAACAGGAUUAGAUACCCUGGGAGUCCACGCCGUAAACGAUGUCGAUUUGGAGGUUGUGCCCUUGAGGCGUGGCUUCCGGAGCUAACGCGUUAAAUCGACCGCCUGUGGAGUACAGCCGCAAGGGUUAAAACUCACAUGAAUUGACGGGGGGCCGCACACGCGGUGGAGCAUGUGGUUUAAUUCGAUGCAACGCGAAGAGCCUUUACCUGCUCUCGACAUCCUACAGAACUUUUCAGAGAUGUGUUUGGUGUCGUUCUG